GACAGAGGGUGCAAACGUUGUUCGGAAUUACUGGGCGUAAAGCGCGUGUAGGCGGGCGUGCAAGUCUGCUGUGAAAGCUCCUGGCUUAACCGGGAGUGGUCGGUGGAAACUGCACACCUGGAGGACGGUAGAGGUAGGUAGAAUUCCCGGUGUAGUGGUGAAAUGCGUAGAGAUCGGGAGGAAUACCUGUGGCGAAGGCGGCCUACUGGGCCGGACCUGACGCUGAGACGCGAAGGCGUGGGGAGCGAACGGG
rnacentral:rRNA from 1 species